rnacentral:rRNA from 1 species
GAUGAACGCCGGCGGUGUGCCUAAUACAUGCAAGUCGUACGCACUGGCCCAACUGAUCGAUGGUGCUUGCACCUGAUUGACGUUGGAUCACCAGUGAGUGGCGGACGGGUGAGUAACACGUAGGUAACCUGCCCCGGAGUCGGGGGAUAACAUUUGGAAACAGAUGCUAAUACCGCAUAACAACAAAAGCCACAUGACUUUUGUUUGAAAGAUGGCUUUAGCUAUCACUCUGGGAUGGACCUGCGGUGCAUUAGCUAGUUGGUAAGGUAACGGCUUACCAAGGCGAUGAUGCAUAGCCGAGUUGAGAGACUGAUCGGCCACAAUGGAACUGAGACACGGUCCAUACUCCUACGGGAGGCAGCAGUAGGGAAUCUUCCACAAUGGGCGCAAGCCUGAUGGAGCAACACCGCGUGAGUGAAGAAGGGUUUCGGCUCGUAAAGCUCUGUUGUUGGAGAAGAACGUGCGUGAGAGUAACUGUUCACGCAUUGACGGUAUCCAACCACAAAGUCACGGCUAACUACGUGCCAGCAGCCGCGGUAAUACGUAGGUGGCAGGGGUUUUCGGGAUUUAUUGGGCGUAAAGCGAGCGCAGGCGGUUGUUUAGGUCUGAUGUGAAAGCCUUCGGCUUAACCGAAGAAGUGCAUCGGAAACCGGGCGACUUGAGUGCAGAAGAGGACAGUGGAACUCCAUGUGUAGCGGUGGAAUGCGUAGAUAUAUGGAAGAACACCAGUGGCGAAGGCGGCUGUCUGGUCUGCAACUGACGCUGAGGCUCGAAAGCAUGGGUAGCGAACAGGAUUAGAUACCCUGGUAGUCCAUGCCGUAAACGAUGAGUGCUAGGUGUUGGAGGGUUUCCGCCCUUCAGUGCCGGAGCUAACGCAUUAAGCACUCCGCCUGGGGAGUACGACCGCAAGGUUGAAACUCAAAGGAAUUGACGGGGGCCCGCACAAGCGGUGGAGCAUGUGGUUUAAUUCGAAGCUACGCGAAGAACCUUACCAGGUCUUGACAUCUUGCGCUAACCUUAGAGAUAAGGCGUUCCCUUCGGGGACGCAAUGACAGGUGGUGCAUGGUCGUCGUCAGCUCGUGUCGUGAGAUGUUGGGUUAAGUCCCGCAACGAGCGCAACCCUUGUUACUAGUUGCCAGCAUUAAGUUGGGCACUCUAGUGAGACUGCCGGUGACAAACCGGAGGAAGGUGGGGACGACGUCAGAUCAUCAUGCCCCUUAUGACCUGGGCUACACACGUGCUACAAUGGACGGUACAACGAGUUGCAAACUCGCGAGAGCAAGCUAAUCUCUUAAAGCCGUUCUCAGUUCGGACUGUAGGCUGCAACUCGCCUACACGAAGUCGGAAGGGCUAGUAAUCGCGGAUCAGCAUGCCGCGGUGA